GUCAUUGAAGAGGGCUGUGACCCUCAUUAGUGAGCUUAAGCACGUGACGUUUUUGACAACACUGACGGCAUGAGCAACGUCAGAAGACUGGGUCAAGGACUGUGAUUGGUGAAAAACGUCAACUUUACUAAACUCACUAUUGGCAGUUGUAUGCCAUUUUCUGUGUUGGCCAUGCACUACUAUAGUCUGCAAGGCAGACAAGAUGCUCUUCGUGUGGCAGUACUCAAUAUUGAGGAUGUAAAAACUUGCCAAUAAGGCGAUAAUUGCAUCAAAACAACUGUUGCUUGUUAUGGAACUUUAAUCCUUUCCCUCGAUAACGUAUGAUUGACAGUUUCUAGUCGUAUUCUAGUUCGCUGCCAGCGGCCACAAUAUGGAUUGUGAUAAGUUUGAAAUUGUAUCAUUUGCAUCUUUGGACUCCUACAAAAAAAUACAAUUAGAAUGUAUGCAAUAAUCCGCAAUUACAGAGGGUUAUAGGACACAUAAGAUAUAAG
rnacentral:lncRNA from 1 species